GCAUACAACCUCACCUGAUCGAUCUUGAUAAAUGUGUUAAAGAGUGGUUGCUUCUCUAGUGAUGCAACUAACCCACUGUAUCUGGCCGAGAACAAUCAACAUCGGAGAGAGCACAGCACUCUACAAUGGUGGAAGAUCCCUUCACUUAAUAUUAGUGAGAAGGUUUUAAUUUAGGUCUCUUCUAUAUAGUCAUAUACUUCUCAUAUAAAUGAUUGGUCUGAUUUAGGUCAGCAUAUCUCAUGUCUGAUUAAAGUGGUUUAGGUCAGCACAUCUCAUGUCUGAUUGAGCCUAGUUCAGGUCAGCAUAUCUCAUGUCUAAUCCAAC
rnacentral:lncRNA from 1 species